GCAUCUUUUUGUUUUUAAAAGACCUUCUUAUGAAGGUAUGCUUAAAGAGGGGCUUGCGCCACAUUAGUUAGUUGGUAGGGUAAAAGCCUACCAAGACGAUGAUGUGUAGCUGGACUGAGAGGUUGAACAGCCACAUUGGGACUGAGACACGGCCCAAACUCCUACGGGAGGCAGCAGUAGGGAAUUUUCGGCAAUGGAGGAAACUCUGACCGAGCAACGCCGCGUGAACGAUGAAGUAUUUCGGUAUGUAAAGUUCUUUUAUUGAAGAAGAAAAAGUAGUGGAAAAACUAUAUUGACGUUAUUCAAUGAAUAAGCCCCGGCUAACUAUGUGCCAGCAGCCGCGGUAAGACAUAGGGGGCGAGCGUUAUCCGGAAUUAUUGGGCGUAAAGGGUGCGUAGGCUGUUAGAUAAGUCUAUAAUUUAAUUUCAGUGCUUAACGCUGUCUUGUUAUAGAAACUGUCUUGACUAGAGUGAGAUAGAGGCAAGCGGAAUUCCAUGUGUAGCGGUAAAAUGUGUAAAUAUAUGGAGGAACACCAGAAGCGUAGGCGGCUUGCUGGGUCUUUACUGACGCUGAGGCACGAAAGCGUGGGUAGCAAACAGGAUUAGAUACCCUGGUAGUCCACGCCGUAAACGAUGAGUACUAAGUGUCGGGGUAAAACUCGGUACUGAAGUUAACACAUUAAGUACUCCGCCUGAGUAGUACGUACGCAAGUAUGAAACUUAAAGGAAUUGACGGGACUCCGCACAAGCGGUGGAUCAUGUUGUUUAAUUCGAAGAUACACGAAAAAUCUUACCAGGUCUUGACAUACUCUGCAAAGCUAUAGAAAUAUAGUGGAGGUUAUCAGGGAUACAGGUGGUGCAUGGUUGUCGUCAGUUCGUGUCGUGAGAUGUUAGGUUAAGUCCUAAAACGAGCGCAACCCUUGUCGUUAAUUGCCAGCACGUAAUGGUGGGGACUUUAGCGAGACUGCCAAUUAAACAUUGGAGGAAGGUGAGGAUUACGUCAAAUCAUCAUGCCCCUUAUGAUCUGGGCUACAAACGUGAUACAAUGGCUGUGACAAAGAGUAGCUGAAACGCGAGUUUUUAGCCAAUCUCAAAAAAGCAGUCUCAGUUCGGAUUGAAGUCUGUAACUCGACUUCAUGAAGUUGGAAUCGCUAGUAAUCGCGAAUCAGCAU
rnacentral:rRNA from 1 species